AGCCACCGCACCAGGCCUAGAAUUUUUUCUGAUAAAUGUGAAUCUCCAGAAAAUGUAUUUUUUUUUGUAGUUCUGUUGUUGAAUGAAAUGCUAUAAUACUUCCUGUAAAAGGCUAUGUUUUACUUCUCUUUACUCAGAAUUUUAUAAAGCAAAUUUAGCAAUUACUCUUUUGAAGGGAGAAAAAAUUUCACGGAGGUUAAAAUGGUAGGUAAAGACAUAUUAUUUAAUAUAAUUAUGUUUUAACUCACUCCCUGGUGGCCAGAGAUACAAAAUAAAUUCUGCAUAUACUUUAAAGCAACAACUAAAUGCAAAGAUACUUAUAAUCUUCCUCUUUCCUAACCCCAGAACUUGCUUAAGCAGUUUUUUGAAAUAUGCUUCUAUGCAUAAAUAUGUUAAAGUUAAUGCAAAUAUGCUGGUUAAUGCAUCAGUAUUAUCAGACAAUUGAUAAGCUCAAAUAUGUGAUAGGGCACUUUAUUUCCCAAGCUACUGGAAUGCUUGACAGUUACACAUGUAUAUCAUAUAUUUAUUCAUUCAGCCAAUGCUUAUUAAUUUCCUACUAUGUGCUGGGCUCCUUGCUGGAAAUGAGGACAAAGCAGUGAUCAAGUCAGACUUGGUCCUUGCAGGCCAGCGGGGAAGACAGACUGUGUGUGAUGGAUGCCGUUGGGAGUGUAGAAGGCAGGCCCAUCUAGUCAAAUGAUAGUUACAAAAUAAAGUGAAGGCGGGAGUAGAUCUUCCUAAUGCACAGGAGGUCAGGUCCUUGAAAUCCAUCAACCACCAUGGAAAUUAGUUUAAAUCACCUGUGACGUAUUAUAACCCUUCCGGCCUUGGGCUAGAGGCACGUUGGGACCUUAGAGAAGGCUGGAAGAGAGAUGGAGGGGAGAGGGGGCAGAGAGGGAGGGGAGAGGCCAAUGUUUUCCAAUGAAAGCUAAAGGGCUUUGGUGAACAGGGCUCUCAAGAGGCUGACCUCAGUACCCAAGGGUUAUUUAGGUGGGCAAAGCUCUUCUGGCCAGUAUGAGGCAGUGUCUCUUCCUUGCUUCAGGUUCUGCCUCUGUUGUAAUAGGACCCCAGUCAGAUGCCGGGCCUCAUGAACAGGCUCUGGCUCCUGAUAGGAAAUGGGCAAGGACUAGAUAGAUUAUCAGGGGAACAGCCUCAGACUAGGGUUCAGGCCAGGGCACUUGUUCUGAAACAGAACCAGAGUGCAGAAUGAGCAUCACAGCAGAUGCAAUGAGUAGAUCAGAAGGGGUUGGGGAUUCGGAGGCUGCUCCUUAGGGGGGCUUUAGGGUGCUCAGGUCCUCCCUAGCGUCAGGCUUAGUGUGGUAGUCUCUCUUUCUCACUCCUAACCCCUCUCUUCCUGCCACCAUUGCCCCUCUCUCUGUCAUCUGUUUGUUUGUAUCCUAAUAAUAUCUGCUAUGCCCAAAUAUUGAAUAAGGCUUCUGUUAGCAACAAGAGCUAUUAAUAGCUUUUGAUUGUGGAUUUGCCUUUUGUUGGGAGAAUGUUAUAUUCAGUAAUUGUCAGCUCAUGAGAACAUAGGUAAGGCUUGGGUUUUUGCUGCAGAGGUACGAUACCUGAAAUUAAAAUAAAUAUAAACAACUAACUUCAGUAUUUUGAUUUACUUAUUGACUAAUGUUCGUACAUGUUUUCUUAACCCAAAUUAAAAAGUGUGAUAACAAAACUAUAAAGGAGUCUUUAAUUAGUGAAUCUAUUGAUUUGUUUCCCUAAAGCAUCUUUAUUUACUUGAAAUAACUAAAUGGCACACGUGUGUAUGUUGCCAUGCAGUGGAUUGGGAUCUUUAGAAAUGGAUCCAAUGGAAAUAAACUCAUUGUUUAUAUUUUUGCUCAACUUUAUUUUUAAAAAGAUCACAUUAAAAAUGGAACUUUAUUUUCCAUUUGAAUGUAAAUUCACUCUUAUGUUUCCAGGCGUCUUUCAAAAAAUAGGCUAAGCCAGGUGGCACAGGUUUGAACUUAUCUCUUGAGAAAGUGAUUUUGGCCAAGUCACUUAACUUCUCGGGCCUCAGUUUCUAUGAGUAGAAUAAAGGGGUACCAACAAAAUGGGGUGGUGAUUUAGAGCAAACAAGACAGCAGAGAUCUAAGUGCUUGUUGAUCAUAAAAUGCUAAUGCAGGUGUUUGCUAUUUAUAUUCAGAUGCAGGUUGUGCUCACAUCAUAUAAACUAAAAUGUGAAAGUCUCCAAAAGCUCAACUAGUUCCUGAGGCAAGAAAUGUGAAAUGGCGACAGCUAAAAGGCCUUUUCCAUACGCCUUGUGGAUCUUUGGAUGAAGUAAUCCUACAUUAUCACUAUUUCUUAAUCAUAUAAAAAUAUUUCGAUAAUAAAAUAUUUGCAGCAGACAUCAUUGGAAAUUUGAAAGAAAUCAACUGGGAAAACAAAUAUACCUACAGUGAAUUUAGAAAGAAACGACUAUUCAUUUGCUAAUCUAUAUUCUAAUUUUUCUUCAAGAUAUGAAGAAUUACGUAGGGAGUGAUUAAAUUUUUUAUUGACAGACACGUAGGGUGACCAACUUGGCCUCUGCUUAUCUUGGACUUUACUGGCUUUAGCCCUGGAAGUUCCAUGUCCUGUGAAAUCGCUCAACUUCAGGCAAACAGAAAGCUUCACAUGUGAGAUAAAUGCACUCAAAGAUUCCUCACAAGUAGCUCUUUGGAGCUUCAGAUGUGAAAUGGAUCAUUCCUCAAUCUGUAAUAGACCCUUCUGUGAAGCUCUUCAAUCAAACCAGGGAAUUCAAGGCAUUUUGUAGCAUCCUAAACAGAAGGAUAUUGCAGGGAGCUGAUUCUGCUUUGAUCCUUGUGCUUGUUGUCAAAGCGCUUGGGAUUGAAGAGACUGUUGGCUACAAUUGACUGUGACAAUUAGGAGAUGAUCAGAGCCCUAGAGUGGAGCACUUAAAGGGUAAUUUACAUGUCAGUUUGUCGAAUAAAAAAAAAGAUAUUCAGCUAAGAUUUUUUUUUCCCCCUCAGAGCCUUGUAAACUGCAAUUUGUGCUCUGGUAAGAAAAACCUGGCAGAGGAGUUAGGAUAGCCAUUACCAUUUGAAAAGAAGCAAUCAGAAGGCCGCUGCUGAGCCCUUUGUCCACUAAAAAUGCUGAUUUGCAGGCAGUGAGUGAAAAAGUGGAACCGUCACUAAAUAAAACCGUGAGCUAGAUAUUUGGUUAUGAUAAGAGGCACUUACAGAAGGGCAGCUUGGGGUUCAACAUGAGUCUGUCUUUACUGAUAAGAGCCAAGAACAUCCAAGGCAUUCAGAAGCCAGAGGCUCCAACUCUGAGCAUGAUGCAGGCAAUGGUAAAUCUGUAUCAAAAAUCAAGCACAGCAGGAGGUGUUCGUCUCCCAGGUUUGCAUUUAAAACACUCUUGGAGCACUAAUUGUAUAAAAUUCUGGUAACUGCACAUUCUGUUUUUAGAGAGAUAAUGAGUGAAUGACUGAAGAGGCAGGGAUUGUUUGCCAUUCGAAGUGGGGAUCGUCAGAACACCUCUACUUGACUGAAAUUGUCUUGCAAGCCAUAGAAGGAGGACGGAAAAGGGAAAAUGUGAGUACAGAAAGUGGCACUGAUUUCCAUCACAAAAAAGAGAUUCUACAAAGCUAUGGAGGAAAGUCACACCACACCACAGGCUAACGCUGGGUGGGUCUAGGAUUAAAUUUAAAUACUGCCUUGAUGUGAGGCAGCAAGGACAUUUUUUCAGAAUCUCCUUAGCACUAGGUGGGGAAAAGCAACAGUUUGUGUAUGAUUCUAUAUUUGCAAACUUAAAAAUUCCUUAGUUGUCACAAUGGGAGGAGGCUUUAUAGAUUUUUUACUUUAACCUCAUCCAUUCAUAGAUGAGUAUGUGGAGAUUUAAGAAGUUUAUGUAACUUGCCCCAAACUGCAGUUAUUCUCCUGACCUAGUCUAAUGAUCUUCACUUUGCAUACAGCAGGGUUGUAGGAUGCUAUAAGCAUUGUUUUCAAAAGACCUAAUAACAUUAAGAGAAAUCCUAGUAGCCAAGCUGAGACUUUAUGAUCUAUUUCAGUAUGGCACACGAAUAUGACCUUCUUGCUCUAAGUUUCCUCAGGUGGAUUUCUGUCUGUGUUAUCAGUGCUCAGGGUACCUGUGUCUCUUUCUGUUAGGUUUCGGAAAUGGAUUCUGGCUAACUUACAUACAAAUAAACAAAAACAAAUACAUGCAUAAGGAAAGUAAGGAUUUUAUUGGAAAGAUAUAAUGUAGCUCAAACAAGACAAGAAGAGGCCCAACAACCAGGGCUCAGAAAUCUCUGGGACAGCAGAGCUUCAGGAAAUCAUGCUGAAGAACCCAAUGUGGAGGCUGCUUAUAAGUCCCGUGGGUAGAUGGAGCAGCUCAAGUCAUUGCUCCUGUAUUUUGUCAUCCCAGAACUGCUUCAUAUUCCAGGGCCAGAGGAUCUGACUCAUCUUGCCUGGGGAAUAUACCUAUACCUUGGCAGGGCAAGAGGUGGGUGGAUAGGGAGCAAGUGGAGCAUUUUGAUAAACAGAUUGCCACGACUGAUGCAUAAAGAAGGAGUUGUUUCCAAAAGAUAGGAAAUUGAGCUGUCGUUACUAAAAGAGGGAGGCGUGGAUUUAGGGUAGUCAGAAACAUACAUAUAUCCUGGAACCUUUUCGUCACCACAGAUAAGAAAGAGUUCCAUGAGUACAAUUUUUACUUUGUAAAAUAACUUAAAAAAUUCAGAUGUUAGCUUUCAGUCUUGGUUGAUACUUUUUACUUGUUAAUUUCUCCAAGUCCAAUUACAUUUAGAUUUUCAUAUCCCAUAUAAGUCCACUAGAACAAAUAUCACAACUAUAAUAAGCAUUUUGUUCAGUUUGGUCACAAGUAUUUACUCAUUCAUUCACUUGGACAAUUCAUUUAUUCAACACAUAUUUAAAAUAGACUUUAUGAAAGUGUAAGGCUCAAUUUAUGACCCUGCAUUGACUGAAAGGAGAAGCAGAGAUUUUCUUUUUAUUAGAAUUAUAUAUUACUAAACCAGUGGUUUUUUUUUUUUUUUAACAGUAUUCUAGAUUCUUGAGUUAAAAAAAAACAUUUUGGACCAAUCUGGAAUAAACAAUAAAUAGAGAAUGCUCACUGUGGAUGAAACUCUAUUCUAUGUCCUUUGAGGGAAUAAUAAAACAGAUAAAGUACACCUCCCAAUUGUACUUAGUUUGAAAGACAAUAUAAACAUAUAAAAUAAUGAAAAGUCAACAGAACUGAUUCAGUAGGCUGUACUCAAAAAUCGUGAACUAGAUCUUUUUGUCCCAGUCUAGAGGGAGUUAGAGGAGACAGAGUUCAUGUCUGAUCCACCCAGCCCUUGUACUUGGGUUUAAAUUUCUAUAAGUUUAAGAAUUAAAAAAGGUCAUAAAGUCUUUUUAUGUUGUGGAUUGUUUGUGCAUUUUCAAAUUAUCCAAAUUCCUAACUGCCUUUGGAGAACUUUUGGGAAAAUACAAAAACAAUCUUUAAAAUAAUCUCAUGUUCUAGCUCCUCCUCCAAUCGGAUAUUGCUAGGUUUGAAAUGAAACGCAAAGUCACAGAAUUUUAUUUUUGUAUAUGGAAGGUGAAAUGUUUUCAUUUGGACUGCUGUGCUAAGAAGAAAUGUUAAUUUCAUAAAUAUCAAAUUGCACAGAAAAUUGAACUUUUUGUAUCUACAUUUUUUUUUAUUUAUUUCAAGAAAAUAUGAGAGUACAAACAUGUAUCUACAUGUUUUACUUUGAAUUUUGUCCCUGUCAUUGCCUGCCAAGUGAAGUUUGAUACUAUGGUUUUCCAUUAUGUCUGGGUUUGAAAGCCUUAGUUCUAUUCUUCAUUUAAAAUGUUCUUAAAGCCAUUUUCCAGUGAAAUCCCACCCAGUGAAGUGACUCACAUCAGAAGGAAUUCCAGAAAUAAGAACAAUCAUGCUUUCUGUUAUGGAUGUAAUGGUGUUUUUCAGCAUACUUUGAUAGUCAUGAACGAUGUUUUGGCAGGCAGCUGGAAUCAUCCUAGAUAUCCGAUUGUGUUACUGACUGCUACCUUCUGGGGGGUUCCUCAGGGGAAAAGACAUUAUUUUAGAAAUAUUCUUUAUUUUUUAAGUCAAGAAUGCCAUUUGUUUAACAAACUGGUAGAUUAAAAAGCAUAUGAGGUUUUUUUUAAGGAAUGUUUCUGAAGAAUACAACAACAUAUUAUUCAAUACACCAACAUAUAGAUUCCUUAAAGCAGACUGGUAUAAACAUUUCAAUAACUCUUGGGCUUGUUCUUUAAAAUGGUUUUCAAUUGUGGGAUUACUAAAAUAUUUACCAUCUAAAGCGGCAGCAUUGUCUUUAAGAUUUAAAUUUACAAUUCACUUUAAUGUGAAUUUUUUCUAGAACAUGUUUCUUCCUAAAAAUUGAGCUAAAACUCUUAAUUUUGUUUUGUUUUAUAUUACUUACCAUUUGUAAAACGUUUCUUCUCUUUAUAUUGCAUAUUUUGAAGUUUUCUAUAGGAACUCUUUUGAUCUAGAAGUUUCUUCUAGGUAAUGUGAAACUAAAUAUCUUAGAUUAUAAACUCACAUGUGUUUGGCCCAGUUUGCUUUACCUGUCUUUUAGACAGGUAAAAACUGUCUUCUCUUUGUAUGGCAGUUCAAUGAGCUUCACACUUGGUUGGACCUGAAGUGGGUUUGUGCAAAACCAGAUUGUUUUAGUUAAAGUAAUCAGUGUAUUCAGUGUUCUACCUGGACGUUUGGGAGAAUUGGCAAGAGAGUCUCCCAACAUUUCAUUUAGAGGCAGGGUCUAUGAAGCUAUCAGUUUUUUUUUUUUUUUUAGAUCUAUUUACCUUUGCCACAGUUUAAAUAUUUUCUUUAUUUAUCAGAAAAUCUUCAGGUUUCAUAUGAAACCUGUGCUAGUUUUAGUUUUCAAAAGAGCCAUCUAUAAAAAUAUUUUUAAAAGGGCAUUAUAAGUAUGGUUUAAUUACAAUUGAUUAAAAAGUUAAAUAAACCCAUUUUUCAUCAGCAUCUAAGCCAAAGUGAGUUACAUGUUUUAUCAGCUAUAAAAUACUGAAAUAAUACUUACCUUAGAGAGAGGCAGCAGAUAUUUGAUAAAGACUUAAAAGAUUAUAAUCAUCUGAACAGUGAUUACCAUCAGAAAGCCUGAUGGUAAUAAAUAAUCCAUUGUCUUGAUCAAAAGUAAAUUAUAAACUCACUCAUAAUGGGUCAUUGUCAGCUGUUUUAAUGGAGCAAAAUGUUUAAGAGCAGAAACUCUGGAGGCAGAAAAUUCUGGAUCAAAUCUCAUACUGCCCCUAAUUGCCCAUGUGGUACUAGGAUACCACCUAUCUUCAUAUCUUAAAAACCUCAGUUUCCUCAUCUAUAAUAUAAUGACACCUAGUUCCUAGAGGGAUCAAAGUAUUUAGUGUAGUACCUGGCUCAAAUUGGAGUUCAUUAAAUGCCAGCUGUUAUUAUGACUAUAUUCAAUUUAUUUUACAUUACCAUCUAAAUAUAUUUAACUAUUUAAAAAUCUUCUUUUUUUUUUGCAAAGUGUCUUGUCUAGCUAUCAACAUCAGUUAAGAACAUGGUGGCCAUUGCUAGCUGAAUAUUUUGAUAUAUUAGGAGUUAUCCAUAAAAUGACUUCUAAUUUUAUAAUCAGAAGUAAUUACCAUGAACAUACUUGCAAAUUUCAUUUCAUUUUUUUUCUGUGAACAUAUUAUGUAUUUAUUGUUUGAUAAGUAUGGCUCAUAAUGUGUAUCUAGCUUUUAGUUUCAGUGCUAUGUUGUGAAAAUGGUUUCUUUAAGUGGUCUUCAAAUACACAAUUUUAAGUGACUAAAUAAUUUUCUAUUAUAUAGAAUAAUAAGCAUGUAACCAAUUUAAAUACUCCCCUAUUGUUGGAUACUUAAAUUGUUUGUAAUUUUUAUUCAUUAUGAAUAACAUUGUCAUAACAUCCUUCUGUAUGCAUAUUUAAAAAUAUAAUAAAUUUGUUCUAAUAUAUGAAUAUUUUAAAGAAGUUUGACAUAUUCUAAGUACUUUCCUGACAAUUUAUAGCAAUCUACCUGUCUUUAAUAUUGCCUCAUAGAUUUGUGAACCCCAAGUAAAGACUUUCUGUUUCUUCUUUUUCAUUUUGACCUGUUACUCCCACAUAAUAAACGGAUUAAUUUUUGCUAUUUUCCCCAUAGUUAACACACAUGCAAACUCUGACCUAGUUCAUUAUGACAUUUACCUGUAUUUUCUGAAUCACAUAGAAGUUUCAAUAGUUAUAAUUCAUUUCUGAAGGAAUUUUAAGUGACAACAGAAAAAGAAAGGGAUUGAGGAGAGAAUUAUAUUACUGAAUAUAAGAACUACAGGGAUUUAAAAAUGACUAGUCAUUACAGAGAAUGGAAAGGCCAGGCUAAAUUUAUUUGUAUUUUCUGUUCUUGUUUCAAAGGUGAGAAGCAACCACAAUGAGAAAAUGGAUUGUCAUUAUUUGUCCAACUAUUUGGUCCUUCAAGUGGGGUCUAUCUUAUUUGCAUCACAAUUCACAAUUCUCUUUUCAGCCAAAAUAUGUUUACUGGAUGUCAGAUUUGAUGGGCAUGUGGCCAGGGAGUUGAUGGAGAAGAGCACAUCACACAUGUAGCCUGAGUGUGGGAUUCAGUUAUUUAUUCUUCAAAUAUUUACUGAGCACCAACUGGGUGCUGGGCCUCAUUCUGAGCACAUCAGUGAGGCAGAAGAGAUAAAAACCUGAGCCCUCUUGGAAUUUAUAUUUUGGCUGGAAAAGAUAAUAAUAAAUAAAAGAGGUACAUUUUUAAAUGCAUUGGGAGGUAAUAAGUGCCUCACAGUGAAAUAAGGCAAAGAAAGGGAUAGGAGCUUGGGGCAGGAGUGGGGGUUCACUCUCUUAAGUGGGUCCUCUGGAAAGGCUUCCCUGACAGGGGGAUUUUUGAACCAAACUUGAAGGAGGUGAGGAAAUGAGCUCCACAGACACCUGGGGCAAGGGUUCUCCAGUAUAUCCACUGCGGGGGAG